rnacentral:rRNA from 1 species
UGAACGCUGGCGGCAGGCUUAACACAUGCAAGUCGAACGGGCAUAGCAAUAUGUCAGUGGCAGACGGGUGAGUAACGCGUGGGAACAUACCUCUUGGUUCGGAACAACACAGGGAAACUUGUGCUAAUACCGGAUAAGCCCUUACGGGGAAAGAUUUAUCGCCGAGAGAUUGGCCCGCGUCUGAUUAGCUAGUUGGUGUGGUAAAGGCGCACCAAGGCGACGAUCAGUAGCUGGUCUGAGAGGAUGAUCAGCCACAUUGGGACUGAGACACGGCCCAAACUCCUACGGGAGGCAGCAGUGGG